GCGCGAAAACUUUACAAUGCUGGCAACAGCGAUAAGGGGACCUCGAGUGCCAGGUUACAAAUCUGGCUGUCGUGAUGCCUAAAAAGCAUUGCAUAGCAAGGGCCGGGCAAGACCGGUGCCAGCCGCCGCGGUAACACCGGCGGCUCGAGUGGUAACCGUUAUUAUUGGGUCUAAAGGGUCUGUAGCCGGCCGGAUAAGUCUCUUGGGAAAUCUGGCAGCUUAACUGUCAGGCUUUCAGGAGAUACUGUCUGGCUCGAGGCCGGGAGAGGUGAGAGGUACUUCAGGGGUAGGGGUGAAAUCUUGUAAUCCUUGAAGGACCACCAGUGGCGAAGGCGUCUCACCAGAGCGGACCUGACGGCAAGGGACGAAAGCUAGGGGCACGAACC
rnacentral:rRNA from 1 species